AACGAACGCUGGCGGCAGGCCUAACACAUGCAAGUCGAGCGCCCUUUCGGGGGAGCGGCGGACGGGUGAGUAACGCGUGGGAAUAUGCCCUUCUCUACGGAAUAGCCUCGGGAAACUGAGAGUAAUACCGUAUACGCCCUGUGGGGGAAAGAUUUAUCGGGGAAGGAUUAGCCCGCGUUGGAUUAGGUAGUUGGUAGGGUAAUGGCCUACCAAGCCGACGAUCCAUAGCUGGUUUGAGAGGAUGAUCAGCCACACUGGGACUGAGACACGGCCCAGACUCCUACGGGAGGCAGCAGUGGGGAAUCUUAGACAAUGGGGGCAACCCUAAUCUAGCCAUGCCGCGUGAGUGAUGAAGGCCUUAGGGUUGUAAAGCUCUUUCAGCUGGGAAGAUAAUGACGGUACCAGCAGAAGAAGCCCCGGCUAACUCCGUG
rnacentral:rRNA from 1 species